GAUGAAGAACGUAGCGAAAUGCGAUAAGUAAUGAGAAUUGCAGAAUUCAGUGGAUCAUCGAAUCUUUGAACGCACAUUGCGCCCCUUGGUAUUCCGAGGGGCAUGCCUGUUCGAGCGUCAUUUCAACCCUCAAGCUCUGCUUGGUCUUGGGCCUGGCCGUGAUGGCCGGUCUUAAAAUCAGUGGCGGUGCCGUCGCAGGCUCCAAGCGUAGUACAUCUCUCGCUCUGGAAACUUGGCGGUGCCUGCCAGACAACCCCUAUUUGUCUCUUUCGGUUGACCUCGGAUCAGGUAGGGAUACCCGCUGAACUUAAGCAUAUCAAUAAGCGGAGGA
rnacentral:misc_RNA from 1 species